AGCUAUUGUUGAUGCUUCCUCUGCAAAAUCCCCUUUCUUCAUUUUGAUUGGUCUCAUGUAUGGAAUUUGAAGUUCCUCAGCCAAGUUAGAACUAGUAAUCAUGUUAACAAAUCUCAUUUUAUGCUUGAAUUUACAUAUAUAACCACCUGCACAUGCAGUCUUCCUGAAGUGAUUUGUCAUUCAGCCUUUGCCAAAGGAGAGGACGAUGCCAAAGGUUGCAAAGGACUGAAACACCACAUGAGAAGAGGUCGCUUUACAUCAAGAAUCCUUUGAAGAGUAUUAACAACACAGAGCACAUGAUAAGGAACUUCAAGAUGCCUUUCCAUAAUGACAUAGCUCAUUCCUGCAGUGUUUCAAAACUUUCUUCAAGUUUCAUGGAAUGCAGCUUCAAUCUACACAAGGAAGAUAGCACUGACUAAUUAUCAAUAAAUGAAGAUAUCUGAGAUCCUAUUUUUAUUUAUUGAAAAUUCGGAUUUAUUUCUAUAAAAAAAUUAAUUAUAAAGUCUUAUUGAAACAGUGCGACUGUUCACAAAAAGUUACAAUUAUUUUUAUUUAUUUAAUUCCGAAUUUCUUAUGUCUUUUCAACGUAACUUUUGAGACAUACUUGUUCAUUUUACAACCUUUCCCGAAAGGUUGUCUUUGUUCUUUUGCAACAUUUUGAAGAGUUGCAUCUAUUCGAAAGACAAAGAUAAGUAUGCAUGUUUUGAGAUCAAACACGUAUCUUCUUCCAUUUUUUUUCGUUUUCUUUCGAGAGAAAAACAACAGCCAUUGUUUCUAAUUGUUUCCCAUGAGAGACCCUGGAGAAAUACUAGAAUUGCUAUCUAGUAUUCUCACUUGAGACUUUGUUGUAUUCUGGAGGAAAUUUGCCGGUGACCAUUAGCAACGUAGUGGGGCAAAUAAAUCCUUAAAGAAAGUGAUAUCACGCCUCAAAGUCCGACUUGAGUACUCUAAAGAUCCAACUUCAUUGUUCUACCCAAUUCGAAGCCAUAUUUUCCCAACACCUGCAGUGUUUCAAAACUUUCUUCAAGUUUCAUGGAAUGCAGCUUCAAUCUACACAAGGAAGAUAGCACUGACUAAUUAUCAAUAAAUGAAGAUAUCUGAGAUCCUAGCAUCACAAUUUACACCAUGAGAGAUAAGGUACAAUUGCGUAAACAUCAUUGACACCAAUUGCAGUUGGACGACAAUGAACAGUGACUUCAUUAGCUGGCCGAUGAAAAAGAAAUCAACAAGCUCAAAAGAAGUAAGCAAUUAGCAAUACUUUCCCUGUUUGUGUUUAGGAACAAAAUUGAAGUUAAUAAAAUUAUGCUGAAAAGGUGAAGUGCCUAAACUAUAGAAUAGAAAGAUGUAUUUGCUACUUGGUUAUUUUGCAAGAUCCAAUUAGCAAAAUCAGCAAUACCAAAUAGUUUAUGAGGAGGUCAAUUUCAACUUUACGAAUCCAAUGCCGCAUACAUGAGAGCUAAGCCUAUCAAAUCAGAAAUCUAUCUGAGAACAUUUAGAGGAUAGUAUCACACUAGUAAACUGACAAGAAUGAGGAGAUUGUCAUCAUGCAUACUUUUGUCCUAAUUUCAAGUGAAAUUCCACAGCUCAUAGAGUAUCAGCACACAAGUUAGUCUUUCAUGGUACAACUAGCAAUGCAUACCUCCCCCUUCAGAGCCUCGUCAAGUUCAAGAGUGAUAACAUUAGAAUGCGACUGUAUCAAGCAACUGUGCAUCAGGGUAACACAUAAAAAGUUAGAAGCUAUGUGUUUCAUUAACGAAGAGGUAGAACCUAAUGAGCAUACACAAAGCCUAUUUAAUUAAAAUAAGUACAUUUAGGUAUGUGUUGUUGAGACAAGAUCAAAUGUUUGAACAUUCACACAAAUCAAAACUUCCUUGGGACACUCCAGUUGCCCCUAGAACGUCUUCAAGGUUGGCACACAAGAUGGUCCUUGGCUGUUGCUGAUGCUUCCUCCGCAAAAUCCCUUUUAUUCAUUUUGAUUGGUCUCAUGUAUGGAAUUUGAAGUUGCUCAGCCAAGUUAGCCACACCCAAAUCAGAUGAUAAAACAAUUCCAUGGCAGCAAUAGGAUCAAAUGUGAUGCAAACUAAUUAGCAAAUUCUCGAGCCCCUCAUCCCAGCUUGUUUCACAGACCAGGCAAAAAUUGUCUAAUUAUGCAAAAGGUCAUCGACACGGUUGACUGAAUUGAAGUCCCAAAGUAAGCCUUGAUCAUUACAUAGACCAACCAAACCUAUCAUAGAAGCAGCACCAGUUUACCUUGCUUGAUAAUAUUUCAAAACAGCAUGACUACCGGUAAUGUUAGAUGAUCUACAUUCAUAUAUGACAGACUAGCCAAAACGGCUUUUCACAUUUUCUUUGUCACUAAACAGAAACACUUGAACCUUAAAUUUUAUUUUAGCUCAAUUCAUCAUAUUCCAAGAAGCAAUGCUCUUCUUAGAAGGUUAAUGAGGGACGUCAAGGGAACAAUAAGAAAUUUGACGGGGGUUUCGUUCAUCACGGAAAAUCAAAAGGUGUUUGUUCCGAACAGGAUAUCUACCAUUACUCAAAUUUGUCAUACAAAAGAACUUACAAAGGAACUCAAAAUGGCCAAGGAUUUUUUUCAAAGAAAAUAUGAACAUUGGACAUUGGGAAAUUCUGGGUGUAGUAUACAAUAACGAGAGUAGAAGUUCAUCAGCCUCUAGUUGAAAAUUUCAAAUCUCGGGUUUUUUUAUAAGGGAAAUGUUAAUUACUAGGUAAUUCCUGCUUAUCUUUGUUGGUAUUUAUAUUCUUGCCUGGCUGCUAUAUGUUUGCAGUCUACAAAAGCUGGCAGCGGAAGAAUAAACAAAAAACAUUGCUAUAACGUAAUCAACAGCAAUUAUAGAGAGGCAAAUCCGGAGUUUCCAAAAUCAACCAAAUAGAUACCCAGUGUAGAGCAAAUCAUUCUAAAAAUUUCUCUCUUCGCUCAUGCUGGCAAUUCAAGGAUGAAGAAUUUUACUAUGUCUUCUAUUGGGUCUCCAUUUUGAUCUUGGCUGAAGCAUCACGUCAGCUUCUGGCCAACUCCCCCACUCCUUCAAUUAUGUAAGACUAGCAAUUUAGACCCUGCCAUGGAAAGCCUUCUUGUCAGAAGAAGAUAGUGAUGUAAAGUUGGUCAUGAAUCUCAAAAGAAAAAUGAUUGUUCAUUGCUUAUUUACCUCUAUUGAAGAAACAUUACUCCUCUCACUGUUGUAAUAUGGGUGUAAGAUUUAUUACAUCAUUAUCACCGCAAGAUAAUGUUUUCAAAGAGAACUAAAAACAGGGAGGUAGUUCAUAAUUUUUAAAGAUGCGCAUUCCAGAUAAGUUAGGUAUUGCUUCCAAUGAGUCACAACAAGAAAUAUCCAAAUCAUUUAAAUUCAACAUUUAAAGUCCCUGAAGCUGAGUAAGUUACUUGCAAUCUUGAACUCUUAGAGAUCGUAGCUUCUCACAUCCUGUCAAUUUUGGCAAAGCCUCCAUUGAUUUGCAUCCUGUAAAAUCCAACUCUUCUAAGAACUCCGCAUCGUCAAGACCUUGAAUUUCAACUAGAUUGCCGCAACCAAAAGCCUAUAAUUUCUUCAAACACUUGCAUUCAUAUAAAAAUAUGACCUUCGAGGACUCCAAAUUACCAUAGCCCUCAAUUUCAACUAGGCUAUCGCAAUGCUCUAUGCAUAAUUUCGGAUGACUCAAUCAUAAAAGGCUCAAUGUUUCAAUGGAUUGCAAUUUUUUUAUUUAGUCUUCUAAGCGAAAGUUCUGUCAGCUUAUCCCACUCCUCAAAAUAGAUCUUCAAUCAUUUUGAGGAAGGCCCGCAGAUGUCUUCAUGUAAAUGGCGUACCUCAAGAUCAAGUUCUUCUAGGUGGGUGAGGCUAAAAAGCUGUGGCAGUCCAAGACUCUGAGAAGUGACCAACAGAUCUGUUAAGCCCGAAGGAAGCUAUGGCAGUGACUGAAGCCAGUGACAACUCCUUAGGUCAAGGCGAAGAAAGAUUCCUGACGCUUUUUGGCAGGUCAGUUAUCGGUGUGCUAUCGAGAUUGAGAAUCUUAAGGGAAGGCAAGUCACUGAUUUUGCUUGGAAUUACCCCUUUCAGACUAAAGCACCAUGAGAGAUCUAGAGUCCACAGAUUUUUCAACCUUCCAAUAGCACUGGGAAGUUUUUCGAUCCUAGAAAAACUCAAGCUCAGAUGUUGCAAAUUCUGUAAAUCCCCAAUUGAGCUAGGGAGAGGGGAUUUCUCUCAGCAACUCACAAUAGCUGGCACUUAGUUUCUUCAGCUUCCUCAGAGAAGCAAAAGACGGAGGAAUCUCUGUAAUACCAGUGACACACAUGUAGUCUUCCUGCAAGUGAUUUGUGGUUUGGCCUUUGCUAAAGAAUAGGACAAUGCCAAAGUUUGCAAAGGACUAAAACACCACAUGAGAAGAGGUCGCUUUAUAUCAAGAAUCCUUUGAAGAAGAUUAACAACAC
rnacentral:lncRNA from 1 species